rnacentral:tRNA from 1 species
GCGGUAGUAGCUCAAUGGUAGAGCAUCGGCUUCCCAAGCCGAGGGUUACGGGUUCGAAUCCCGCCUACCGCU